GAUGAACGCUGGCGGCGUGCCUAAUACAUGCAAGUCGAGCGAACGGACGCUACGCUUGUUUCUCUGAUGUUUGCGGCGGACGGGUGAGUAACACGUGGAUCACCUACCUAUCAUUCUGGGAUCUUUUCGGGAAACCGGAGCUUAUCCCGGAUAAUCUUUUGCACCGUAUGGUUGAUUAGAGAAUGUCGGUCUUGCUGUCUCUUCUCGCUGGUUCUGCGCUGCAUUAGCUAGUUGGUACGGUAACGGCUUAUCACGGCAACGAGGCAUAGCCGACCGGUGAGGGUGAUCGGCCACACGGGAACUGAGACACGGUCAAGACUCCUACGGGAGGCAGCAGUAGGGAAUCGGCCGCAAUGGGCGAAAGCCUGACGGAGCAACGCCGCGUGAGUGAUGAAGGUCUUCGGAUCGUAAAACUCUGUUAUGAGGGAAGAACAUAUGUGUAAGGAACUGAGCAGAGCUUGACGGUACCUAAUCAGAAAGCCACGGCUAACUACGUG
rnacentral:rRNA from 1 species